rnacentral:rRNA from 1 species
CGGGCGACCGGCGCACGGGUGCGUAACGCGUAUGCAACCUACCCAUUACAGGGGGAUAACACUGAGAAAUUGGUACUAAUACCCCAUAACAUCACCGGAGGCAUCUUCGGUGGUUGAAAACUCAGGUGGUCAGAGAUGGACAUGCGUUGUAUUAGCUAGUUGGUGAGGUAACGGCUCACCAAGGCGACGAUACAUAGGGGGACUGAGAGGUCAACCCCCCACAUUGGUACUGAGACACGGACCAAACUCCUACGGAAGGCAGCAG